AACAGAGUAGGAAAUAAAGCGUUAAGUGCCUUGAGGAUGGGAUGUUGCCUCUAGGACGAAGAACAAUUGGUUCGCGGUUUUAUUUCCGCAUUCGCUGCA
rnacentral:ncRNA from 2 species